rnacentral:lncRNA from 1 species
AACAGGAUAGAAGUAGGGAAAAGAGAAAACGAAUCGGAUUGCUGUGCCAUCGUAAAGAAUAAAUGUAUAGCUGCAUGUACGUGUGUGCAUAUGUGGAUAUGCAUGGUGGAACGUUGCCAUGUGCUACCUGCAUUAGAGAGAAAAUGCAGGCUAGACUGUAGCAGCGCAGAGCUAAUUGAUGCGAAAUAAGAAUACGCGGCUCGAGUGAGCACUUGUUGCGGGACAGGAAGUGUAUGUGACAGCUGUAGCGCCCAGUCAAGUGGACGGAUACCACAAGGCACAACCUCGUCUCGUCUCUUCUGGCGUACUUGUUCAAAGUGCAACAAGCAAGCCGACUUUCUUAAUGACACUCUCCCCUCACGGGGUGAAAGUCGCCUCAAGCAACAGGUUGCUUUCUGUACGGGUAUUGUAUGUAUGUAUCCGUUCCAGAAUGCAUCCAAUCUCAAACUCGUUUUCUCCGCUUUUAAAUAAAAUACAGAUAGAUGCAUUCGUCCUCUCACUGAAACUUUUCCAAGACAAAUUGUUUGAAGCGAAGUUGAUUGGCUCAAUUGUAUGGAACUAUCAGUAUUAAUUUCCCCAAAAUAUGAUCCGCCUGGAAAUCUUUCGGAUUGAUACACGAAUUGAAUUCAACCUAGAGUUCCAUAAAUAGAUGAUAAGUAAUCUUAGAGAAGUUGGCAAUUCACUCCACCUUUCAUAUUCAUACAAUGGGUAAAUGUUCUGUCAACUGAGACAUGUGACAUGUGUCGCUUGGAGGGGUUUUUCCUCGUAUUUACACUAAUACUAGCUGGAACUUUUUUAGCCAUGCUGAAAUAGUGUGGCUGAGCUUGAG